GACGAACGCUGGCGGCGUGCUUAACACAUGCAAGUCGAACGGAAAGGCCCUGCUUUUGUGGGGUGCUCGAGUGGCGAACGGGUGAGUAACACGUGAGUAACCUGCCCUUGACUUUGGGAUAACUUCAGGAAACUGGGGCGAUUACCGGAUAGGAGCUCCUGCUGCAUGGUGGGGGUUGGAAAGUUUCGGCGGUUGGGGAUGGACUCGCGGCUUAUCAGCUUGUUGGUGGGGUAGUGGCUUACCAAGGGUUUGACGGGUAGCCGGCCUGAGAGGGUGACCGGCCACAAUGGGACUGAGAGACGGACCAGACUCCUACGGGAGGCAGCAGUGGGGAAUAUUGCACAAUGGGCGGAAGCCUGAUGCAGCAACGCCGCGUGCGGGAUGACGGCCUUCGGGUUGUAAACCGCUUUCGCCUGUGACGAAGCGUGAGUGACGGUAAUGGGUAAAGAAGCACCGGCUAACUACGUG
rnacentral:rRNA from 1 species